rnacentral:misc_RNA from 1 species
GCCGUUGCUUUCUUUCAAGGUUCUGGUUUACCCAAACAAGUCCUUGCUCAGGUGUGGAUGCUUACUGACCAGAGAAAAGUUGGUUUCCUUGGUUGGCAAGAGUUCUAUAAUUUUCUUAAGCUUGUUACUGUGGCACAAAGUAAGCGUGAGCUGACUCCAGAUAUGGUGAAGGCAGCGUUGUAUGGUCCUGCUUCGGCUAAAAUUCCGGCUCCUCAGAUAAACCUUGCACCGAGGCCUGCUCCUAAUGCAGUGACACCUGCCCCUCAGAUGGCUGGCGCCACAUCAGUGUUAUCUCAAAUCACUGGUAUCAGACCACCACAGAUGCCGGGAAAUGCAAACACAAACCAGCACUACUUCCCAUCUCAGCAAAAUCAGUUUAUGAGGCCACCCCAAUCUAUGCCUCCCAAUUUCGUGUUUCAUCCACCACAAGCGCCUGCAAGCCAUGGUGUGCCUAGGGGUAUUACCAUGGCUGUUUCUCGCCCUCCA